UACGUAGGGUGCAAGCGUUGUCCGGAAUUAUUGGGCGUAAAGAGCUCGUAGGCGGUCUGUCGCGUCGGCUGUGAAAACUCGGGGCUCAACUCCGAGCUUGCAGUCGAUACGGGCAGGCUAGAGUUCGGCAGGGGAGACUGGAAUUCCUGGUGUAGCGGUGAAAUGCGCAGAUAUCAGGAGGAACACCGGUGGCGAAGGCGGAUCUCUGGGCCGUUACUGACGCUGAGGAGCGAAAGCGUGGGGAGCGAACAGG
rnacentral:rRNA from 1 species